rnacentral:rRNA from 1 species
UGCCAGCCGCCGCGGUAAUACGGAGGGUGCAAGCGUUGUUCGGAAUUAUUGGGCGUAAAGCGCGUGUAGGCGGUUCGUUAAGUCUGAUGUGAAAGCCCGGGGCUCAACCCCGGAAGUGCAUUGGAAACUGGCGAACUUGAGUACGGGAGAGGAAAGUGGAAUUCCGAGUGUAGGGGUGAAAUUCGUAGAUAUCGGGAGGAAUACCAGUGGCGAAGGCGCUGGCCUGGAGGGAGACUGACGCUGAGGUGCGAAAGCGUGGGGAGCGAACAGGAUUAGAUA